rnacentral:rRNA from 1 species
GACGAACGCUGGCGGCGUGCUUAACACAUGCAAGUCGAGCGGUAAGGCCCUUUCGGGGGUACACGAGCGGCGAACGGGUGAGUAACACGUGGGUGACCUGCCCUCAGCUCUGGGAUAAGCCUGGGAAACCGGGUCUAAUACUGGAUAUGACUCCAUGACGCAUGUUGUGGGGUGGAAAGCCUUGUGCGGCUGAGGAUGGGCCCGCGGCCUAUCAGCUUGUUGGUGGGGGAUGGCCUACCAAGGCGACGACGGGUAGCCGGCCUGAGAGGGCGACCGGCCACACUGGGACUGAGACACGGCCCAGACUCCUACGGGAGGCAGCAGUGGGGAAUCUUGCGCAAUGGGCGAAA